GAGGAAGGCCAGAAGCAGUAAGCACUGCUAAUACUUACACCCACGGUUAAACUCCGUGGCUUCCUUG
rnacentral:tRNA from 1 species